rnacentral:lncRNA from 1 species
ACCCAAUGUUUCAAAAAUAUACACAUAACUUUCUGAUCAAAUAUAAAAAAUUAAAAUUUAAAUAAUAAAAAAAUUAUAAAAUAUUUUAAAAAUUAAAUAAAUUAGAUAAUAAUGAUAUUAGUAAAAAUUAUCAAAUAGAUUGAUAGUUUAUUUAACAGAAAAAUAUUCACAGAAAGUUACGUGUCACACACACACACACAC